rnacentral:rRNA from 1 species
GGUGAGGUAACGGCCCACCAAGGCAACGAUCGGUAGCCGGACUGAGAGGUUGAACGGCCACAUUGGGACUGAGACACGGCCCAGACUCCUACGGGAGGCAGCAGUGGGGAAUAUUGCACAAUGGGGGAAACCCUGAUGCAGCGACGCCGCGUGGAGGAAGAAGGUCUUCGGAUUGUAAACUCCUGUUGUUGGGGAAGAUAAUGACGGUACCCAACAAGGAAGUGACGGCUAACUACGUGCCAGUAGCCGCGGUAAAACGUAGGUCGCAAGCGUUGUCCGGAAUUACUGGGUGUAAAGGGAGCGCAGGCGGGAAGACAAGUUGGAAGUGAAAUCUAUGGGCUCAACCCAUAAACUGCUUUCAAAACUGUUUUUCUUGAGUAGUGCAGAGGUAGGCGGAAUUCCCGGUGUAGCGGUGGAAUGCGUAGAUAUCGGGAGGAACACCAGUGGCGAAGGCGGCCUACUGGGCACCAACUGACGCUGAGGCUCGAAAGUGUGGGUAGCAAACAGGAUUAGAUACCCUGGUAGUCCACACCGUAAACGAUGAUUACUAGGUGUUGGAGGAUUGACCCCUUCAGUGCCGCAGUUAACACAAUAAGUAAUCCACCUGGGGAGUACGACCGCAAGGUUGAAACUCAAAGGAAUUGACGGGGGCCCGCACAAGCAGUGGAGUAUGUGGUUUAAUUCGACGCAACGCGAAGAACCUUACCAAGUCUUGACAUCCCUUGACAGGCAUAGAAAUAUGUUUUCUCUUCGGAGCAAGGAGACAGGUGGUGCAUGGUUGUCGUCAGCUCGUGUCGUGAGAUGUUGGGUUAAGUCCCGCAACGAGCGCAACCCUUAUGGUCAGUUACUACGCAAGAGGACUCUGGCCAGACUGCCGUUGACAAAACGGAGGAAGGUGGGGAUGACGUCAAAUCAUCAUGCCCUUUAUGACUUGGGCUACACACGUACUACAAUGGCGUUAAACAAAGAGAAGCAAGACCGCGAGGUGGAGCAAAACUCAGAAACAACGUCCCAGUUCGGACUGCAGGCUGCAACUCGCCUGCACGAAGUCGGAAUUGCUAGUAAUCGUGGAUCAGCAUGCCACGGUGAAUACGUUCCCGGGCCUUGUACACACCGCCCGUCACACCAUGAGAGCCGGGGGGACCCGAAGUCGGUAGUCUAACCGCAAGGAGGACGCCGCCGAAGGUAAAACUGGUGAUUGGGGUGAAGUCGUAACUAGGUAG